GAUGAACGCUGGCGGCGUGCCUAAUACAUGCAAGUCGAGCGAACAGACGAGGAGCUUGCUCCUUUGACGUUAGCGGCGGACGGGUGAGUAACACGUAGGUAACCUACCUAUAAGACUGGGAUAACUUCGGGAAACCGGAGCUAAUACCGGAUAAUAUUUCGAACCGCAUGGUUCGAUAGUGAAAGAUGGCUUUGCUAUCACUUAUAGAUGGACCUGCGCCGUAUUAGCUAGUUGGUAAGGUAACGGCUUACCAAGGCAACGAUACGUAGCCGACCUGAGAGGGUGAUCGGCCACACUGGAACUGAGACACGGUCCAGACUCCUACGGGAGGCAGCAGUAGGGAAUCUUCCGCAAUGGGCGAAAGCCUGACGGAGCAACGCCGCGUGAGUGAUGAAGGUCUUCGGAUCGUAAAACUCUGUUAUUAGGGAAGAGCAAACGUGUAAGUAACUGUGCACGUCUUGACGGUACCUAAUCAGAAAGCCACGGCUAACUACGUG
rnacentral:rRNA from 1 species